GCCGAGGUAGCUCAGCCUGAUCCAGAACGGAGGCUUUGGACGGCCCAUUCGCAGGUUCAAAUCCUGCCCUCGGCACCA
rnacentral:tRNA from 1 species